UCCGCAGCGGGCCUUCUCCUGGGGUGGGCUAUCAGGUGUAGCCACACCUGCACAAAGUCCCUAAUGCACACAGGCCCUGGGCUUCACACUGCCGGUGGUCCCUUCCCUGGCGGUCUGCGGAGCAGGCUGAGCUGUCGGGUAGAUUCUGCCCUAGAACCAUAGAAUCAUAGAAUAUCAGGGUUGGAAGGGACCUCAGGAGGUCAUCUAGUCCAACCCCCAGCUCAAAGCAGGACCAAUUCCCAGUUAAAUCAUCCCAGCCAGGGCUUUGUCAAGCCUGACCUUAAAAACUUCUAAGGAAGGAGAUUCUACCACCUCCCUAGGUAACGCAUUCCAGUGUUUCACCACCCUCCUAGUGAAAAAGUUUUUCCUAAUAUCCAACCUAAACCUCCCCCACUGCAACUUGAGACCAUUACUCUUUGUCCUGUCCUCUUCUACCACUGAGAAUAGUCUAGAACCAUCCUCUCUGGAACCACCUCUCAGGUAGUUGAAAGCAGCUAUCAAAUCCCCCCUCAUUCUUCUCUUCUGCAGACUAAACAAUCCCAGUUCCCUCAGCCUCUCCUCAUAACUCAUGUGUUCCAGACCCCUAAUCAUUUUUGUUGCCCUUCCCUGGACUCUCUCCAAUUUAUCCACAUCCUUCUUGUAGUGUGGGGCCCAAAACUGGACACAGUACUCCAGAUGAGGCCUCACCAAUGUCGAAUAGAGGGGGACAAUCACGUCCCUCGAUCUGCUCGCUAUGCCCCUACUUAUACAUCCCAAAAUGCCAUUGGCCUUCUUGGCAACAAGGGCACACUGCUGACUCAUAUCCAGCUUCUCGUCCACUGUCACCCCUAGAAAGGAGACAAAAUGUUGUUUCCGGAGCUUUGCAAUUUACGAGGCUUCUCUUGGGUAACUGGCUGGGGGCAUUUCCUACCUCAGACUCAGGGGAGAUUUCCCAAGGCACCCUGGCAGUCGAGCAUCCAUCGAAUGUCAAUGGGAUGUUGGAGCCUCCCCUGGAAACUCUUCUGUUUUCCUGGGGCUCAUCCAAGGAUGGCAUUGUCUGAGGCAUCGUCUACACUAGAAAAACUUUGCCUCCGUAGCUAUCCUGGCGAGCCCUCCUAGUAUCUGUAGGAAGACAAAUGAGCCACUGGCUCGUGGCUUCUUAGCAGGUUCCUCCAGGCAACCAGCUCAGCUGGAGAGCUAAGAAAUCGGAGGCUGCUGGCCAGCAAUACGAAGAGCUGCCACCCACAGGUGGAUAAGGAGCAACACCCACUAGCUACCCGGGGAAUCACAAAGCCUGGCCCGGAGAGAAGGAAAACGCCAGAGGCCAGACCAGACUCAUGCACAGCAGCCCCCCUUUGGCUGACGUCGGUUACAGCCCCCUGAGGGAACAAUGCAGACAGAGGGGGAAGUUUUCCAUACCUCAGCCCCACGGCUGGCUGUUCAUUCCAGAGGUGCCACCGAGUCAGGAACUGGGGGCUUCCCGACUGGGGGCUUCCCACGGCCCUUGUGGGUUUGUUCCCAGAAGCAAGGAAAGAACUCCUGCCGGACUUUAAACUUUAACACCCUGAGUCUUUAGAUGGGGAGCUGAUUUCUCUAGCCUACAUUGCCAAAUUCACCCUGUUUUCACAGUUACCCUUGGGCACCAGAUUAGCUGAGCAAAUGAUCUCGAGCGCGAGCUUCACCUAGUGAUCAGUGCAGGAAGCAGCGCAUUAGGACUCCUGGGUUCUAGUCCCAGAGGUGCCACUUUGGUAAAAGAGAUUGCUACAAGAAGUCACUCCAGGAAAUCCUGUGGCUGGAUUUUACUUAUUAAAGGCCUGGAUAAUUUUAUUACCUCUAGUCACAUUUCAGCUGUGAUGGCAGUGAGCAAACAUCAUGCUCCAGGGAACAGGCAGGUUAUCUGUAGGGCUUGGGCAGGCAGGACGCCUCAGUUUACCCUGCUAUAAAAUCAUUUUAAUAAUACCUACUUCCCAAGGCAAUAAAGAGGUUAUAGCCCCGGCUACAGUUAAAAUUGAGGUCGACUGACACACCUAUGUCACUCAGGAGUGUGAAAAAUCCACCCCGAAUGCUGUAGCUAUGCUGACAUACAGCUAGGUCAAUGGAGGAAUGCAUCCAUCAAUCCAGCUACCAUCCCUUGGGGAGGUGGAGUUCCUACAAAAUCAGAAAAACCCCUUCCUUCACUGUGGGCUGCAUCUAGACUCUACACAAUGGCGUUAUGCCACUGUACACCCCAUAGGGUAGACAUGGCCUUAGUUAAUUGUUUAUAAAGUGCUUUAAAUUAACAGCUUUGCAUUCUGCAGGCCAAGGGAAGUUUCUCUCUAAUUUCUCUUUAGUUUUGUUCCCUAGAAGCUAUAUUUGUCAGACCACUGUUUUGUUUUCACUUCCUUCUAGGUUCACUGAUUCAAGAGCCUUCCUCACAUGACCGACGGAAACUUUGAGCUGGCUGAUGCAAGAGCUUGACGAACUUCUUUGGUAACCAUGGGGGAGUUUCUGCAAAAGUCAUAAGACCUGGUGGUAAUGGGAAUUGUUUGCUCAAUGACUCAGUGGCUCAGUCAGCUGCCCUGCAGAGCCUCCAAGAAGUCAACCUGGCAGAACACAGCGUGGCGAGCUGCAGGUGAGUACAGAGCUCAUCAGCAGAAGUGACCAUGCAGAGCUCAUCAGCAGAGGUGACCAUGAUGGAGUCCCCGAAUCGCAAAAGAGCUCCAGCAUGGACUGAACGGGAGGUACGGGAUCUGAUCGCUGUAUGGGGAGAGGAAUCUGUGCUAUCAGAACUCCGUUCCAGUUUCAAAAUGCCAAAACAUUUAUCAAAAUCUCCCAGGGCAUGAAGGACAGAGGCCAUAACAGGGACCCAAAGCAGUGCUGCAUGAAACUUAAGGAGCUGAGGCAAGCCUACCAGAAAACCAGAGAGGCAAAUGGCCGCUCCGGGUCAGAGCCCCAAACAUGCUGCUUCUAUGAUGAGCUGCAUGCCAUUUUAGGGGGUUCAGCCACCACUACCCCAGCCGUGUUGUUUGACUCCUUCAAUGGAGAUGGAGGCAACACAGAAGCAGGUUUUGGGGACGAGGAAGAUGAUGAUGAUGAAGUUGUAGAUAGCUCACAGCAAGCAAGCAGAGAAACCAGUUUUCCCGAAAGCCAGGAACUGUUUCUCACCCUGGACCCAGAGCCAGUACCUCCCGAACCCACCCAAGAUUGCCUUCCGGACCCCCCAGGUGGAGAAGGGACCUCUGCUGCAUGUGUUUCAAGGAUCACAGGACCUUCUCCUUCCCAGAGGCUAGCGAAGAUUAGAAGGCAAAAAAACCGCACUCGCGAU